UACGUAGGGUGCGAGCGUUAAUCGGAAUUACUGGGCGUAAAGGGCGCGUAGGCGGCCUUGUAAGUCAGGUGUGAAAGCCCUGGGCUCAACCUGGGAAUUGCAUUUGAUACUGCGAGGCUAGAGAGCGGGAGAGGAUGGUGGAAUUCCCAGUGUAGAGGUGAAAUUCGUAGAUAUUGGGAAGAACACCGGUGGCGAAGGCGGCCAUCUGGACGGCGACUGACGCUGAGGCACGAAAGCGUGGGGAGCAAACAGG
rnacentral:rRNA from 1 species